AUUGAACGCUGGCGGCAUGCCUUACACAUGCAAGUCGAACGGCAGCAUGAUCUAGCUUGCUAGAUUGAUGGCGAGUGGCGAACGGGUGAGUAAUACAUCGGAACGUGCCCUGUAGUGGGGGAUAACUAGUCGAAAGAUUAGCUAAUACCGCAUACUACCUGAGGGUGAAAGUGGGGGACCGCAAGGCCUCAUGCUAUAGGAGCGGCCGAUGUCUGAUUAGCUAGUUGGUGAGGUAAAGGCUCACCAAGGCGACGAUCAGUAGCUGGUCUGAGAGGACGAUCAGCCACACUGGGACUGAGACACGGCCCAGACUCCUACGGGAGGCAGCAGUGGGGAAUUUUGGACAAUGGGCGAAAGCCUGAUCCAGCAAUGCCGCGUGUGUGAAGAAGGCCUUCGGGUUGUAAAGCACUUUUGUCCGGAAAGAAAUGGCUCUGGUUAAUACCUGGGGUCGAUGACGGUACCGGAAGAAUAAGGACCGGCUAACUACGUG
rnacentral:rRNA from 1 species